CCUGCUUCUCCAUCUCGCACGAUCUCCUCCGUCACUGUCCGUCCCCCUCAAAGGAAGCAGUCAGGACGAAUCACAGCCUUCUUUUAGAUGCCUGUUGAUCCAGAAGAGGGGAGGAAAUGUGGCCCUGUUCAGGAAAUGUCUGCAGGCUUUGCUGCUGUGAUGGACAGAUGCUUAUUUCUGCAUAAAUUAAAGCUUGGGAAGACAUCAGGAGGCUCUCUGGCUGGCCUGCGGUGAAGCAGAGGGUUAUGGCUCUGGAACGUAUGCAGACAGACACACAGGUGGUGUUUCACUCUCACUCUGGGGAGAAAAUGACCGACUGGGCUGCCUCUGUCCUCGCACAUCUGGAG